UUACAGCCAUAUCACAUUGAAACACCAGUUCUUGUAUGAUCACGGAAGUUAAGCAAUGUUGAGUCUGGUCAGUAUUAAGAGGGUGAUCUCUUGAGAAUACCAGCUGCUGU